rnacentral:lncRNA from 1 species
GCCAAGAAAUUGUUUCAACUUAUAUAUAUUUUUUCCUCAGUUUGUUACUUUAUAUAUAUAUGUAUAUAUAAAUAUAUAUAACUAUACACAUAUAUAUCCUUUUCUACAAUAGGCACAAGGGCAAAAAACUUGUGAGUGUAGAUUAGUUAAUUAUAUCGACGCGAUUGCUCAAGUGGUAUUUAUUUUAUCAACCCUGAAAGGAUGAAAGAUAAAGUCAACCUUGGUUGAAUUUGAACUCAGAAAGUAAAUCUAGAAGAAAAUCCACCAAGUAUUUUGCCCAGCAUGUUAAUGACUCUGCCAUUUCACCACUUUACACACACACAUAUAUAUAUAUAUAUAUAUAUAUAUAAAAGUAUAUAUAUAACAAUUUUAUUUGGGUGUUAACCCUGGAGUUUAACUUACUAAGCUCAUCCAUGUGCCCAGGCUAUCAGACAGAUAGUAAUCCGGAGAUUGUGUUUUCAAACAUAUGCUUAAAACUAACAAACAUGGCUAUUAUACUUUACAUUGUCGAGCGAUUACUGUUUACAUCUCGUUCUGAGAUUUAAUAAUGCUUACAGACAGUUUUUCAAAAUCAGUGGCAGAAGUCACUAGAAAAACUCUUAUAUAUUUGCAAACAGGCUUUUUCUUUCAUCAUGAUCCGGUGAUUACCGCCCGUUGAUCAGUGGCAAUAACCUCGAAACUGCAGUCUGGUGCAUAUCACUUAGGCUUACGAGAAAGGGAUGGCCUCCCUUUGCAAAUACCAUAAGGGCACAGAUAGUGUGCCUAAAGCCAGCUGGAGAUGAUGAUCUCCUGGAGCUAAAAAGCUACAGUAACACCCACCCUUAGUGGUUAGCCAUAUUGAGAUGGCUAUUAUACUUUACAUUAACAAAUAUCUGUUUAAAAAAUUUUUUUUAAAUUUACAAUUAUAAACAAGAAGAGUGGAGUGAACAAGUCCUUUUAUUAUAUCAAUUUACAAUUGUUUAUCUGAAUUCAAUCUGAUGAAUAUUGCUAUGAAUAUUCAUUCACAGGGUAUAAUUGGCACAUAUCAAAUCCAACUCUUCAGAAAAUUAUGUCUAAUGUUAUUUGCUGUAAACACAGAAAGUAUCUUUAUUAUCGUGUAACAUAGCAAUAUUCAUGAGACUGAAUUCAAUGAUAAGUUAUUCACAGGAAAAUUAGAUUAUUUUUAAGGUACAUCAGAAUAUAGUUAUUCCAAAAGCAGCAAAAAGAUGAAGCAGUCAUGAAAACAGCUAAAAAAAUAUAGUUGAUAAACCCUACAUAUAUUUUUGUUGUUAAAAUGCAGACUGGUGGCAUAGAUAUAUAUAUAUAAAAGCUAUUUAUUCACAGACAAUAAUGUUAAGAUAACAUCAAUAAUAAUAUUAAUGGUUUCUGAUUUGUAAACAAGGCAAGCCUUUUAGAGUUGAGAGGAAGUAGCCAAUGCCAUCAGCCUUAGAAUUUGACUGGCAAUUUAAUUUAUUACCUGGUAGCACGUAAAAAGCACCAUCCGAUCAUGGCCAUUGCCAGCCUCGCCUGGCCCCCGUGCCGGUGGCACGUAAAAAGCACCAUCCGAUCGUGGCCAUUGCCAGCCUCGCCUGGCCCCCAUGCCGGUGGCAUGUAAAAAGCACCAUCCGAUCGUGGCUGUUUGCCAGCAUCACCUGGCCCCCAUGCUGGUGGCACGUAAAAAGCACCAUCCAAUCGUGGCUGUUUGCCAGCAUCACCUGGCCCCCAUGCUGGUGGCACGUAAAAAGCACCAUCCAAUCGUGGCUGUUUGCCAGCAUCACCUGGCCCCCAUGCCGGUGGCACGUAAAAAGCACCAUCCAAUCGUGGCCGUUUGCCAGCAUCACCUGGCCCCCAUGCCGGUGGCACGUAAAAAGCACCAUCCGAUCGUGGCCGUUUGCCAACCUCGCCUGGUCCCCAUGCCGGUGGCACGUAAAAAGCACCAUCCUAUCGUGGCCGUUUGCCAGCCACGUCUGGCACCUGUGCCGGUGGCACGUAAAAGCACCUGCUACACUCACGGAGUGGUUGGCGUUAGGAAGGGCAUCCAGUCGUAGAAACAUUGCCAGAUCAGACUGGAGCCUGGUGCAGCCUUCUGGCUUCCCAGACCCCAGUUGAACCGUCCAACCCAUGCUAGCAUGGAAAGCGGACGCUAAACGAUGAUGAUGAUGAAGGGAUGAAAAGCAAAGUUGACCUCAGUGGUAUUUGAAUUCAAAAUGUAAAGAGAUGGAUGUAACAACAACAACAACAACAACAACGAGUAUGAUAAUAUCAAUCCUUUCUUGUAUAGGCACAAGGCCUGAAAUAAGAUCAACUUCAGUACUUGAAUGGUACUUAAUUUAUCGACCCUGAAAGGAUGAAAGGCAAAGUCGAUUUCAGUGGAAUUUUGACUCAGGAUGUAAAGAUGGAUAAAAUGCUGCUUAGCAUUUUGUCUGGUGUGUUAAUGAUUCUGCCAGCUUGCUACUUUAGAAAUAAUGAUAAUUCUUCCUUAUUUUCGCAUAAGAGCAGCAGUUUUGAGGGGAGGGGGUCGAGUCAUUUACAUUGAUUGGUACUUGUUUCAUUGAUCCCAGUUAAGUCAAUCUUGGCAUAAUCUAAACUCAGCAUAUAAAGAGCCAGAAGAAAUGUUGGUAAGUCCUAAACACUAACAUUUUUGCCAAUUGAUAAUAAUAAUAAUAAUAACAAUAACAAUAAUAAUAAUAAUAAUAAUGAUAAUAAUCCUUUCUACUAAAGGCACAAAGCCUAAAAUUGGGAGUGGACUAGUCAAGUACAUCGACCUCAGUAUUCCACUGGUACUUAAGUUAUCAACCCCAAAAGGAUGAAAGGCAAAGUCAACCUUGGUGGAAUUUCAGCUCAGAACGUAAGGACAGGUGAAAUGCCACCAAGCAUUUUGUCUGGCUAAUAAUAAUAAUAAUAAUAAUAGUAAUAAUAAUAAUAAUAAUAAUAAUAAUAAUAAUAAUAAUAAUGGGACUAAUAAUAAUAAUAAUAAUAAUAAUAAUAAUAAUAAUAAUAAUAAUAAUAAUAAUAAUAAUAAUAAUAAUAAUAAUAAUAAUAAUAAUAAUAAUAAUGGGACUAAUCGAUUACAUUGACCACAGUACUCGGUAUAUAUUUUAUCAACUCCAAAAGAGUGAAGAGCAAAGCCGACCUCAGCAGAAUUUGAACUCAGGAUGUGAUGACAGACGAAAUACUGCCAAGCAUUUCACCCAGUAUGCUAACAAUUCUGCCAGCUCAAUGCUUUAAUAAUAAUAAUAAUAAUAAUAAUAAUAAUCCUUUCUACUAAAAGCACAAGCCCUGAGAUUUGGGGGCAGGAGAUAGUCAGUCAAUUAUAUUGACCCCCAAUAUUCAAAUGGUACCCCUAUUGAUCCUGGUAUGUCGAUGAUCCCAGAUGGUUGAAAAGAAGGGGACCAGAAUUCUGUGAGGGUCUAGUACAUCUCAAUUGAAUUCCAUUUAUAUGAUUAAUACAUAGUUUAUUGAACUUAAAGGGGAAAAGUCAAGACAGACAAUCUUUGAGCUUUGUGCACUUACAGUAUUUAAUCUUGCUUUAGCACUGCAAGUCCGAAAUUUCCACGUGAAAUGACACAAAAUGGGAAUUAAAACCAUGUAACUAGAUCAAUUAUGAUGAGAUUAAGUCUUGAUGUAUUUUGACCCAAACAGGAAAAAAUUUUAAUCCAAAAUCCAAAUCAAAAUCAAUCAACAUCAAUGGAAAUUGCAGCUGUGAUACCAGUGCCGGAGGUAUGUAAGAGAACCAUCCAAACGUGGCCGUUGCCAGCGCCGCCCUGACCGGCCUCGUGCUGGUGGCACGUAAAAAGCACCAUCCGAUCGUGGCCGUUGCCAGCCUCACCUGGCCCCCGUGCCAGUGGCACGUAAAAAGCGCCAAUUCGAUUGUGGAUGUUUGCCAGCCUCGUCUGGCACGUAAAACGCACCCACUACACUCACGGAGUGGUUGGCGUUAGGAAGGGCAUCCAGCCGUAGAAACAUUGCCAGAUCAGACUGGAGCCUGGUGCAGCCUUCUGGCUUCCCAGACCCCAGUUGAACCGUCCAACCCAUGCUAGCAUGAAAAGCGGACGCUAAACGAUGAUGAUGAUGAUGAUGAUUAGGUGUGGUUGAUUUAAAACCCCUUUCAGUAUAUCGUUUUCUUUUUAAGCUCUAGGACUCAUUAAGGCCAGUUAACUGAUUUCCAUGACAUGUAAGUGAUCAAAUUCAUGACAUUACCCCUGGAUGGUACACCAGCCCAAUGCAGCGCUCAAGGCCAACAGUUUUGAGGUGAUGCCAGCAAGUCGACUACACAGACCCCCUAGUACUUGACUGGUACUUUAUUUUAUCAACCCUGAGAAGAUGAGUUCAAAUUUCAUCAAGUUGACCUCGGUGGGAUUUGAACUUAGAACAUAAAGAGUCAGAAGAAAUGCCACUAAGAAUUUUGUCCAAUGUGCUAACAAUUUUGCCAUUAUGUAAGUAAAUAUGGGUUUCAAAUUUUAGCACAAGGCCAGCAAUUUCAGUGGAUGGGAGUAAGUCUGUUACAUUAACCCGUGUUCAAUUGGGACUUAUUUUAUCGACCCUGAAAGAAUGAAAGUGAAAGUUGACCUCAAUGGAAUUUGAACUCAAAAUGUCAAGUGGGAAGAAAUGUCACUAAGUAUUUUGACCAAUGCGCUACUAAUUCAUAUUUCUUUAUUACCCACAAGGGGCUAAACACAGAGGGGACAAACAAGGACAUACAUAGGUAUUAAGUCGAUUACAUCGACCCCAGUGCGUAACUGGUACUUAAUUUAUCGACCCCGAAAGGAUGAAAGGCAAAGUCGACCUCGGCGGAAUUUGAACUCACAAUAUAACGCAGACAAAAUACCGCUAAGCAUUUCGCCCAGCGUGCUAACGUUUCUGCCAGCUCGCCGCCUAAUUCAGCCAACCUAUCAUCCUUUUCAGUAUACUGUCUGUACUUAAUUCUUGAGCACUGACAGGAUUUGAGUAGAGAAAGUAGAAAGAAGAAACUAAAUACUCUUUUAUUUGUUCCAGUUAUUUGACUGUGGCCAUGCUGGAGCACCACCUUUAGUCAAGCAAAUCGACCCCAGGACUUAUUCUUUGUAAGCCUAGUACUUAUUCUAUCGGUCUGUUUUGCCGAACCACUAAGUUACGGGGACGUAAACACACCGGCAUCGGUUGUCAAGCGAUGUUGGGGGGACAAACACAGACACACAAACAUAUACACACAUGCGCACAUAUAUAUAUAUAUACUUUAUUUAAAAGCAGCAGAAAUUUAGCAAAAGCUGUUACUCAGAGUUUCACGUUCCCAUUCGUCAGACAGUUUUGUUAAUAUCUUUUGUUAAAUUUCUGCUGCUUUUAAAUAAAGCAUAUUACUCAACCUCUGGUAUUUGAGUACUCUUUUUUCCCCACCUUGUUUCACAUUUAUGUGCUUACUCCGGUAUAUAUUUAUAUAUAUAUAUAUAUAUAUAUAUACGAUGGGCUUCUUUCAGUUUCUGUCUACCAAAUCCACUUACAAGGCUUUGGUUGGCCUGAGGCUAUAGUAGAAGAUACUUGUCCAAGGUGCCACACAGUGGGACUGAACCCAGAACCAUGUGGUUGGUAAGCAAGCUACUUACCACACAGCCACUAGUAUUUGUUAAUUUGGUGCUCUGCCAUUCCUACCAACACAUUACUUUGGUUGCCACUUGCUUCCAGUGGCAGAACCGUUAGCACACUGGGCUAAAUGCUUAGUGGCAUUUCAUCCCUCUUUGCAUUCUGAGUUCAAAUUCUGGUGAGGUUAACUUUGCCUUUCUUCCUUUCAGGGUCAAUAAAACAAGUACCAGUUGAACACUGGGCUCAAUGUAAUCGAAUUACCCCCAUCCCCACCCCCACCUCCCCAAAUUUGCUGGCCUCGUGCCAAAAUUUGGAAACCAAUAUUUUUUAUUUGCAUUUAAGUAAGAAAUAAUUAUUCCAAGAAAGGUGCCUGCUGCCAGUGUAGAGAUGAAUAAUAGAGAGAGAGAGAGAGAGAGAGAGAGAGAGUAAGGUAUAUGUACAAAGUAUGAUUAGAAAGUAAGAAAUUUGGAAUAAAGAAAAUAUACUAUUUCAUGGGCAAUUUCAGAGACAGAGAAAGAUAAAAGAGCUUAACCCUUUAGUAUUUAAACCGGCCAUAUCCGGCCAAAAUAUUUAAUCAGUUUUAUGUUCAAACUGACCAGAUCCAGGCUCUCACACCUACCCUACAAUGCUAUUAUACAUUAAGUAAUUACACCAUCAAGAUCUUGAAGAUAUGAGAUAAUGUAUGAUUAAUUCAAAUCAAUGUGAAUCAAUAAGCAUUACGUUUGAUAGAAUAAUCUGAACACUAAAGGGUUAAUAUGAAUAAGUCCUGGAAAUGUCUAUGCAAAGGCAAUUUGAAGAGGAAACGGAGAACAAGUUAGAAGCUGCCAAAGAUCGAGUAAGUAUUCAACAAAAGUACUUUCAGCAAUAUUAAUAGAAAUGCUGAAGAUACUCAAUAACCGUAUUACUAUAAUUUUAAUGAAAUACUAUAAUUUUAAUGGAAUUUUAAUGAAAUGCCUGUGUGGUUCAAUUAAUUUUGAAAACAAUAACAAUUUGAAGGGGUUUAGUAAAAUAUUUAAAAUUUCUUUUAUUAAUCUGUUUCUUGGAAUAUAACAAUAUAAAAUUACGAUUAAAGAUUAUAAAUCAAAUAUUAUCAUUUUAAAAAUGUGGGACAUUAUGUCAUAGACCUGCAGGCACUCAUGGAGGGGUUAGUUUCAAAAGGGCUUAAAAUAAAAGAAAUAGGGGAUGGUAGGGAACAAAGCAUGAGAAAAGAUGUGAGCUGGGCCAUCACAAGAGAAAAGGUUUUAGUGAUGUACUAUCUAAAUAUACAUUAAAAAAAAUCCAUUGUGUCGCAGUGUCUUGUAAAACUUUGAGCAUUGAAAAUAGAGGUUGAAUCUAUGAGACAGGAAAAAUUAACCGAGAAGUGUUAUGUAACUUGCAGUACAGUUCUACACAGUUACAUGGUCUAUAGUUUUACUAUAGCAGUGCUUUUCAAACAUUUUGCUGGAGCGGAACCCCAAGGAAACAUUCCACUGGCUCGAGGAACCCCUGUGCAAUAAUUUAAUAGUCUUAUGCACACAUCUGCACAGGAGAAUUAAAAAUUACUGCCGAUUUUAGCAGUUUUGUAACUUCUUGUGGAACCCUUGGACUGUAUUGGCAGAACCCUAAGGUCCCGCGGACCCUGGUUGAAAACCACUGUACUAUAGAGUAAGUACAUAGAUACAAGAAAUAGUAGGUAAAUUUCCCUUAGAUUAUGUCCUAUCAUCUUAAACAACAAAACACAUUUCAAUAGAUCACCAUGUCUGAAUUGAAAAAAAAAAAAGAAACAAUUAAGACAGGAUGGUCAUGACCAGAAUGCUUUUGCUCAUAAUAUGUGCUCUGUCAGGGUUAACCUGGAGUUAAACAACAAAAACAUUUUAAGUGUACAACUAUGUAGUAUAGUCAUAUCAUAUGAUAUUGCUACACAGCUUUAUAGAACACUGGAGGUAUGCAGUUAUAAAACUGGAGGUAUGCAGUUAUAAAAUAUAUAAUCUAUAAUGUCAUAUAGUAUAAGUACAAUAUUAUAUACAGUAUAGAUGUACACUACAUUUUUAGUAGAGCACUGAUGUAUAGGUAUACAGCAAUAGUAUACAGUACAUUUAUAGGUGUGUAUAAUACAUAUAUAUAAGUGCCCAGUAGUACUGGAAGAUACGUUUAUAGUAAUGCAAUGAUGUACAUAGUAUAUUUAUACAACAUUAGUAUAGAAUACAGUACACCUAUAGUUCAAUGAUACCGUAUGAUAUAUUUAUAGUAUUAAUGCAUUUAUAAUAGAGCAGUACUGUAUAGUACAUAGUGAGAAAGGCAGAAAGAAAGAAAAAGAAAGAAAGAAAGAGAGAGAGAGUAAGUGAGAAAAAAAGCAUUGUAUCAUCAAGAGAUACCUUUAACUCAUCAUAUAUAAACACACUUAGUCAUUCUUGUAGUAUUUGUAAUAAUGCAACACAAAGUGAUUUAUACAGAAUUUACAGGAGAGAAAUGGUGCAUAGUACAUUUAUAAUGUACAGCAACAGUACAAUGUAGCACAUUUAUAGUACAUUAAUAGAGUAUAAUACAUUUACAGAACAGCAAUGAGUACAUUUUUAUAUAUACAGCAAUGUUGUAUAUUACAUUUAUAGAACAGCAAUAGAACACCAGAAUUCAUUGCUGAAAUACAGAAGAUCAUCAAUAACAAUCCCAGCAAGUUGAUGCAUGCCAUUGCAUGAGAGAAAUAUGUGGAAGACAAGCUCAAAUGUCUGGUGAUGCAUGAAGACAUUCACUACUUCUCAUUCAAGAUGAGGAAGGGACAAUUUCUGCCCAACACAAUGCAAAAAAAGUGACUCCAGCACACCAAGAAGCUGACCAAAAAGUUGAAACCGCUGGAGCUAGACAGGCUGCAGUUUUUCUCCAAUAAGAAGAAUUUCUACCAAGAUCAGAUCAACUCCCAGAACAACAUGUGGCUUGCUGUCUCACCCAAGGACAUGCCCAGAGUCACACAGAUGAAAUUUUCAGUGACUACCAUGAUCUUCGGUGUUGCUCCAUUUCUUCUCUCAGAGCAUCAGGCUGAAUACUGAAGCUACAGCCUUCUUCUGUGUAAGGUGGUGAAGCCAUGGAGUGACUGGUAGUUGCAGGGAGGCUGUAUAUGUAGCAGCAAGAUUCUGCACUGAUACACCAACCAAAAGAUUCAGGCCUGGCUGUUGGAAAAUCGCUUUAACCCUUUAGCAUUUAAACCGGCCAUAUCCAGCCAAAAGUAUUCUGCCUGUUUUAUGUUCAAACUGGCCAGAUCUGGUCUCUCACACCAACCCUACAAUAUCGUUUUAAAAAUUAACAGCUACCUCAUCAAAAUCUCAUAGCUACAAGAUAAUGCAAGAUAAGUUCAAAACAAAGUGGAAGAAAAAGCAUUAAUUUUGGUAGAAUAAUGCAAACACUAAAGGGUUAAUCACACAGCACCUGACAUUUGGCCACCCAGCUUGCCUUUGGACUGCAACUCCCUUGACUCCUUUGCUUGGGGCACAGUGGAAUGAGAGACCAACAAAUCUAGCUGCAACAUGAAGGAUGAACUGAGGGCUGGGAUUACCAGGACCUUCAGGGGCCUAAAAUAGGAGAUAGUGACAAAGGCCUUUGGCUGGUUACGAGGUCACCUGGAGGUUUUCAUCGAAACCAAAGGCAGAUUCACCAAGUGAGAUGGACAUAACAGGUCAUGGAGACAAACUGACCGAUAUUUGAUGACUAUAUCUCAGAAAAUAAAAACACUUUUAUUUUAUUCCUGAGAUAGUCAUUAUGCAAAGGAACACAGCCCACACCCUGUAUAGCACAUUUAUAGCACAGCAAUAGCUCAGAGUACAUUUUUAGGUGAACAGCAAUGACAUAUAGUACCUUUAUAAUCUAUAAUUAUAUAUAUAUAUAAAGCUGAAGUUGUCUGUGUAUGGCAGGUUUGGUAGCCUUCAACUAACACUAUCUUCUCCGAGACCCUUCGGCGCUAGUUGACCAAAAUUGAGAGUAUGAUAGAAGAAGGCUUGCUCUUCAUUCUGCAGAAAAUAAAAUUCAAAUCAGACCAUGUUAAGACCAAAAAUUAUUUACAUAAAAAAGGUUCUUUUUUUCUAUGAAAAUCCCUAUUCUUUACGAUUUUUUGACUGCUGUGUCGCCAUUUUUUGGUGUAUUUCAACCAGAAAAAUGUUCACUUAAAGAGAAUAACAAGCUACAUAAUGCAAAAUUUUUACUUUUCAAAAAUUCCAAUUCUAAAGGGUCGAAACAAGCCUGAGCAACGCCGGGCGAUACUGCUAGUAUAUGAUACAUUUAAAAGUGUGUAAUAAUACACAAAGCGGAAUCUUCUGCAAUGCAGCAUCAAACCUUUUGCCAUUGUUACUCAUCAUCUUUUUGUGAGAUUCAACAUCAUAUCAGUUUUCACCAUUUCUCUAGUCUUCCAUCUUUCUCUUCAGCACACAUACGCUUAUAUACAUACAUAUAUAUAUUUAUAUAUAUAUACACUUAUGAGCAUAUACAAAUGUAAAAAUAUUCAGUUGAAUUUAUACAUACAUAAAGCAAUUACAUAUGCAAGCAUGUUUGUGUGUGUUUAUACAUACAUAUAUAUAUAUAUAUACAUACAUAUAUACAUACAUAUAUAUAUAC